ACAUCUCCCUGUGGCUGCUUCCUUCCAGGGUCGAGAUUAGCCGAGGCUUUUGUCGUCUCUACACGACCUGAGCUUUAAGCGUGAAGAUGAAGUGCGCUGUACUCACAAUAUGAGUCCUUUCAGAGUCUUGCGGCGAUCCCAGCGACUCCCCAG